ACGUUCGGGUAAUCGCGGUGCUUCAUUUGAAGCGCUGAGGAAAGUCCAUGCUCGCACGGUGCUGAGAUGCUCGUAGUGAUCGUGCCUGGCGAAACAAUAAGCCAGGGCAGUCUGGUUUCGACUGGACUGACGGCAGGGAACGCACCUAAGUCCAAUUGGAUAUGGUGCCAGUACCUUGAAAGUGCCACAGUGACGGAGCCUUGGAAGAAAUUCCAAGGGUGGAACGAGGUAAACCCCACGAGCGAGAAACCCAAAUUAUGGUAGGGGAACUUUUCCUGGGGAAAUGAACCUAAGGGAAAGGCAAGGGUUUAAUACUCUUGCAGAUAGAUGAUUACCGCCGGAGUACGAGACGAAAGUCGUAUGUAGUACGAAGGAACAGAACAUGGCUUACAGAA
rnacentral:RNase_P_RNA from 1 species